GCCUGGGUGGCUCAGUUGGUUAUGCAUCCGACUUUGGCUCAGGUUAUGAUCUCAUGGUUUGUGAGUUCAAGCCCCACCUCAGGCU
rnacentral:tRNA from 1 species